AACGUAGGAGGCGAGCGUUAUCCGGAUUUACUGGGUGUAAAGCGUGUGCAGGCGGUAUGGCAAGUUGGAUGUGAAAGCUCCUGGCUUAACUGGGAGAGGUCGUUCAAAACUGCCAGACUUGAGUGUGGGAGAGGGAGGCGGAAUUCCGGGUGUAGUGGUGAAAUGCGUAGAUAUCCGGAGGAACACCAGUGGCGAAAGCGGCCUCCUGGCCCAAAACUGACGCUCAGACACGAAAGCUAGGGGAGCGAAC
rnacentral:rRNA from 1 species